GGUUGUGGCUCAGCGGUAGAGCGCUCGCCUAGCAUGCACAAGUCCCUGGGUUCGAUCCUCAGCACCA
rnacentral:tRNA from 1 species